ensembl:lncRNA
UAAAAAACCUGAAUUCAGAAAUAGAGAAUAGAUUGCUAGUUACCAGGGACCGGCAGUGGGGGAUGAGGAGGUGUUGGUCAAAGGAUUAAAACUUGUGGCUAUGAAAUAAAUUUUGAGAGAUCUAAUGUGCAGCAUGGUGACUUUAGGUAACAGGACUGUACUGUACACUUGAAAGUUGCUAAGAGGGUAGAUCUUAAAUGUUCUCAUCACACACACACAAAAUUGUUCACUGUGUGAAGUGAUGGAGGUGUUAAGUAAUCUUAUGAUCAUCAUUUCACAAUAUGUGUGUGUAUCAAGUUACCACACUGUACACCUUAAAUUUGCACCAUGUCAGGUAUAGCUCAGUAAAGCUGGUGGGAGGAUUAUUGGUCCCCAAGUGUCAGAAGUGCUGAGACUAAGAAACCCUGCUAUAAAAGGGAAGCAAAUAACUCUGUUAAAGACAAGACUGUGUCUGCCCCUGGUCUGGGGUUGAGGGGAGGGUGUUAUAAUGCAGCCGAAGGACACUAGCAAUAUUCUAUUCCUGAUCUCAGUGAUGGUUAGAUGGGUAUAUGUUUUGCAAUAAUUCAUUUAGCUGCACAUUGUAUGUUAUUAAUUUUUCUGUUUCAAAAAUUUAAAAAUACUCUUGGAGGUGGGUUGACAGGAUAAGUAGGAUGGAAGAGUAUAGGAGGUGGGUUGACAGGAUAAGUAGGAUGGAAGAGUAUAGGAGGUGGGUUUGGAGGAAGAGGUUCCCCACCAAGAGGGUCCCAUACCUGCUCUGUCCACGACAGGGCUGGGUGUGCAAGAAGGGCCUCGUCCUCUGAUCUAAGUGCAUUUUAGUUCUAUGGGCCUUUGGCUCCUCCUACACCCUGAAGCUGAGUUUGCUUUCAUGGAUUUAGAUAAAGUUUUCCUUUAAAAAAUGUAAUCACCCUUGGGUUGGCAUGAAAUGUGGAAAAUAUUAACUCAGUUUAUAGGCAGGCAGAGUAAAUGCAAACAGGGAUUUUAAUUUAAAUGUCCUGGCCGAGAGGGCAGCUGUCAGUACUGGAAAUGCUGUAAUAUUUGGGGAUAGGAAGUCAUGAAAAUGCCAUUGAUAGCGUGACAUAUUUUCUCUUAAAAGUGAUGCUAGUAGAGGAACUCCUAGACAUUAUUUUUGAGUCCUCUCUGGGGAACACUGUAAACAUCAGAGAAAUUUAUUUUAAAAAAAGAUGACUAACCAAAAGAGAGCAUUAGCUCAUCAGGCUCUUAACCUAACCAGUGAAUGAUAUGAACUUCAGCCUUUUCUGAAGUGAGGUUUUUAUGUGUUCUCUUUGUCGCCCUCCAUCACCCCAAAAGAUCAAACCUGAAUUUUGAAACCACCUGCCAUUUAAUGAAUAGGUUAAAUGACCUAGAACAAUAACUGCAAAUUAUACGCACUUAGAAUAUUUAUUGAAUAAGUAACCUAGUUAAUAGUUAAAUAACAUGGGAAGGAUACUUGGAAGUAGAGAUGUGCAAAAAAGAAUUUUUUCUUGCUGCUGCUGCUAAGUCACUUCAGUCGUGUCCGACUCUGUGCGACCCCAUAGACGGCAGCCCACCAGGCUCCCCCGUGGUGUUUAAAAUACACCUUUAAAUAGAUUCAAAUAAAAAUAAUGUGUGGAAUUCAAAUUGUUUAAGAUUUUUAUUAAAUUAUAGUUGAUUUACAAUGUUUCAGGUAUACAGCAAAGUGAUUCAGUUACACAUAUAUAUGCACACAUAUAUUCUUUUUCAGAAUCUUUUAUAUUAUAGGUUAUUACAAGGUAUUGAAUAUAGUAAUAUGCAUCUGUUAACCCCCGGUUCCUAAUUUAUCCCUCCCCCUUCUCCUUUGGUAACCAUGUUUGUUUUCUACUCUUUCUGUUUUGUAAGUAAGUUCCUUUUUAUCAUUUUUUAAGACUCCAUAUAUCCGGGAGUUAGUGAUGGACAGGGAGGCCUGGUGUGCUGCGGUUCGUGGGGUCACAAAGAGUCGGACACGACUGAGCUACUGAACUGAACUGAACUGAAUAUAAGGGAUAUCAUAUGAUUAAGUUGUUCAAGAUUUAGCAGACCUCUUAGAGUUCUACACAAUCUUCUAGAUUCUUUGUCAAGUCUCGAAGAAAUGGAUUGAGAACUGAAGAGGUGCAUAACUCACUCAGAGAUGAAUUGAAGAGUCUUGCAGCAUGGACUGAUGAUUUCUUUUCUUAGAUGCUUUGUCCUAUCUCCUCAAACCUUUCAAACACAGAAAAAAAAAAAAAAACAACAACCCUGUUGCCCUUGAAAAUUUAAGUCCAACUUAGCAAUGACAGUUUAGCAAGAAAUCUGCUAGCAGACAGAAGUCAUUCCUAAAGUGUAAGUACACAGUUUGGGGAGUGAUGAAUUAUUUUGGGCUUACAACAAUGCUGUUUAGUGACUUAAUAAAUUUUUCAAAGACAGAGUACAAACAAACUAAGAUCUAAGAUAACCCAAUUUUGACCUGGAGGUGGCAUCAUGUUCAAGGAUAAUGAUCAAAGCGCUAUGUUUAAGUUUUUUUUUUUUAAUCCAGGAACCCGAUUAUUAUGGUGUGUAUGUAGAUAGAUAGAUAAUGAAAUUUUUUUUAGGAAAGGGAUUUUAGCUUUGAGAGCUUAAUGGCAGGUGUAACAGAGGAAGAAGUCAUCAGGCUAGAGAGCUCCUCUUUCUAAAUAGAGCACCAGGAAGCAGAGGUCGACAUGGGGCAUUUGCAUAUGCAUCCCCUCCUUUGGCUGGCCCUCCAGCAGCACUCUGUUAAGGGUGCCGGGUAGUGAAGCUUGUACUGCUUCUCCUUGUUCUGA